GCUCCAUGUGGGUCCCUCCAGAAGCUGUGCUCCUUGAAGGAGGAUGGCCUUCCCCAAAUAGAGACAGACCGGCCUUCUGGCCAGGGUGUAUGAGCAGCUGCGCCCCCUGAUAGAACCCCCAAAAAAGCUCUCUUUAUUCUUGGAGGAUCAGAUUCAUGUCUGUCAUAAGACUCCCAGCUCUU
rnacentral:snRNA from 1 species